UUUUUUCAGUUAGAGAAAUUUAGUGUGGGAGCCUUUGAAGCUUAAGAUAUUUUAGUCCAGUUAAAUAUUUCAGUUAUUUGGGUUUCUCUUCAUGGUUGUAUCUUCCAAUCAUGAGCUGCGAUAUGAUUUCAAAAAAGAUAUCAAUGUGAGAUUUCCAGUAAACAUGACAUUCGGAUCUAUGUGUGGACAUUGUAGAGAUUAGCAGAUCAAGCAUAUGACAUGGGAAAAGGAAAGAAUUUAUGAAGAUAUGAAAAAAGAAGAAGACUUGUUAAGCAUUGCGAAAAGCAGUUUUGACUAUAAAAAGCAAGAGUUUAUUAAGUUUCUUGGCAGGAUUUCAUCGUACAUGACUCAGAGCUGAAGGCGAGUGGUGACCUCACUGAGGAUGUAGAGCUACAGGGCGUGUUCUUAGCCAUUGGUUAGAGUGAGAGGCUACCAAGGCUAUUGAUGUCUAUUGGUUGAAAUUUAAGUUUGUUCAAUUGUUGGAAUGUUGAAGUUUAAAGAAUUAGCAGAGGCUUCUAGUGUGGUUCUCAGAUGUCGAAGAGCAUCAAAGCAUGCCUGCCCUAUCGCCAACUGGUCUCAUCUUAUGUUUUAUGGCUGUGAUUUGCUGAGGAAAUGUUGCUGCUACUUUCAGUCCCAACUGAUGUACGGUUUUGCAUGUUUGGCUAUAUCAGGCUAUGUGGCUGCAUGGAAAGUUGUAUUGCUAUAAACCUUUGUAGCAUGGAAAAUGGACAUUCAUGUGCAUUUUGUAGUCUGAAAACAUUAAAUAGACCGUUAACUAUUUAUUGGUAUUGUGCUGAUUAUUGUCCUGAUGAAUGUUAAAUGGGUGAAACAUGCAUGCACAUGUUUAAUCAUUGAUUGAUUA